rnacentral:rRNA from 1 species
CAGCAGCCGCGGUAACACGAAGGGGGCUAGCGUUGCUCGGAAUGACUGGGCGUAAAGGGCGCGUAGGCGGUUCGUACAGUUGGAUGUGAAAUUCCUGGGCUUAACCUGGGGGCUGCAUUCAAUACGUGCGGACUUGAGUGUGGAAGAGGGUUGUGGAAUUCCCAGUGUAGAGGUGAAAUUCGUAGAUAUUGGGAAGAACACCGGUGGCGAAGGCGGCUCACUGGACAAUAACUGACGCUGAGGCGCGAAAGCGUGGGGAGCAAACAGGAUUAGAUACCCGGGUAGUCCCUGUCUCUUAUAC